UGCCAGCCGCCGCGGUAACACGUACCGUACGAACGUUAUUCGGAAUCACUGGGCUUAAAGAGUCCGUAGGCGGCUUUAAAGGUCAGGUGUGAAAUCCCACGGCUCAACCGUGGAACUGCGCUUGAAACCAUGAAGCUAGAGGGAGAUAGAGGUGAGCGGAACUGAUGGUGGAGCGGUGAAAUGCGUUGAUAUCAUCAGGAACACCUGUGGCGAAAGCGGCUCACUGGGUCUCUUCUGACGCUGAGGGACGAAAGCUAGGGGAGCGAACGGGAUUAGAUA
rnacentral:rRNA from 1 species